rnacentral:misc_RNA from 1 species
AACGCACGAGACCUGCGGACCUGCGGAAGGAUCAUUACCGAGUUUUCAACUCCCAAACCCCUGUGAACAUACCUAUCGUUGCCUCGGCGAGAGUAGCCCCAGGCGUUGGCGCAAGCCUUCGCCCUGGUAUCAGGCGCUCGCCGGAGGACCCAACUAAACUCUUGUAUUCUAAAGAAUCUUCUGAGUAACCAAAACAAAUAAAUUAAAACUUUUAACAAUGGAUCUCUAGAUCGGAAGAGC